AGUGGCGGACGGGUGAGUAACACGUGGGUAACCUGCCCUUAAGUGGGGGAUAACAUUUGGAAACAGAUGCUAAUACCGCAUAGAUCCAAGAACCGCAUGGUUCUUGGCUGAAAGAUGGCGUAAGCUAUCGCUUUUGGAUGGACCCGCGGCGUAUUAGCUAGUUGGUGAGGUAAUGGCUCACCAAGGCGAUGAUACGUAGCCGAACUGAGAGGUUGAUCGGCCACAUUGGGACUGAGACACGGCCCAAACUCCUACGGGAGGCAGCAGUAGGGAAUCUUCCACAAUGGACGCAAGUCUGAUGGAGCAACGCCGCGUGAGUGAGGAAGGCUUUCGGGUCGUAAAACUCUGUUGUUGGAGAAGAAUGGUCGGCAGAGUAACUGUUGUCGGCGUGACGGUAUCCAACCAGAAAGCCACGGCUAACUACGUGCCAGCAGCCGCGGUAAUACGUAGGUGGCAAGCGUUAUCCGGAUUUAUUGGGCGUAAAGCGAGCGCAGGCGGUUUUUUAAGUCUGAUGUGAAAGCCCUCGGCUUAACCGAGGAAGCGCAUCGGAAACUGGGAAACUUGAGUGCAGAAGAGGACAGUGGAACUCCAUGUGUAGCGGCGAAAUGCGUAGAUAUAUGGAAGAACACCAGUGGCGAAGGCGGCUGUCUGGUCUGUAACUGACGCUGAGGCUCGAAAGCAUGGGUAGCGAACAGGAUUAGAUACCCUGGUAGUCCAUGCCGUAAACGAUGAAUGCUAGGUGUUGGAGGGUUUCCGCCCUUCAGUGCCGCAGCUAACGCAUUAAGCAUUCC
rnacentral:rRNA from 1 species